GGGACGAACGCUGGCGGCGUGCUUAACACAUGCAAGUCGAGCGGAAAGGCCCUUCGGGGUACUCGAGCGGCGAACGGGUGAGUAACACGUGAGCAACCUGCCCUUGGCUCUGGGAUAGCCUCCGGAAACGGGGAUUAAAUACCGGACAUUCACUUUCUCCUGCAUGGGUGAUGGUGGAAAGUUUUUCGGCCAGGGAGGGGCUCGCGGCCUAUCAGCUUGUUGGCGGGGUAACGGCCCACCAAGGCGACGACGGGUAG
rnacentral:rRNA from 1 species